AAGCUGAUCCCCUUCGGGGGUGACGCUUGUGGAACGAGCGGCGGACGGGUGAGUAACACGUGGGCAACCUGCCUGUAAGACUGGGAUAACCCCGGGAAACCGGGGCUAAUACCGGAUAACACCGGACUCCACAUGGAGUCGGGUUGAAAGAUGGCUUCUCGCUAUCACUUACAGAUGGGCCCGCGGCGCAUUAGCUAGUUGGUGAGGUAACGGCUCACCAAGGCGACGAUGCGUAGCCGACCUGAGAGGGUGAUCGGCCACACUGGGACUGAGACACGGCCCAGACUCCUACGGGAGGCAGCAGUAGGGAAUCUUCCGCAAUGGACGAAAGUCUGACGGAGCAACGCCGCGUGAACGAUGAAGGUCUUCGGAUCGUAAAGUUCUGUUGUCAGGGAAGAACAAGUGCCGUGCGAAUAGAGCGGCACCUUGACGGUACCUGACGAGGAAGCCCCGGCUAACUACGUGCCAGCAGCCGCGGUAAUACGUAGGGGGCAAGCGUUGUCCGGAAUUAUUGGGCGUAAAGCGCGCGCAGGCGGUUCCUUAAGUCUGAUGUGAAAGCCCACGGCUCAACCGUGGAGGGUCAUUGGAAACUGGGGAACUUGAGUACAGAAGAGGAGAGUGGAAUUCCACGUGUAGCGGUGAAAUGCGCAG
rnacentral:rRNA from 1 species